rnacentral:ncRNA from 1 species
CUAACAUGUGUGCAAGUGUUAGGGUGUGGAAACCCCAGCGCGAAAUGAAAGUGAAGGGCAGCGUAAGUUGUCUGAGGUAGGAAAUGCUGCGGGCUUCGGUCUGCGGUGUGGCACUAUCGACCGAUCAUGAACCUUCGUGGUGAAAGAUUUGAGUUUGAGCACAUAUGUUGG